rnacentral:rRNA from 1 species
GAUGAACGCUGGCGGCGUGCCUAAUACAUGCAAGUCGAGCGAACGGACGAGAAGCUUGCUUCUCUGAUGUUAGCGGCGGACGGGUGAGUAACACGUGGAUAACCUACCUAUAAGACUGGGAUAACUUCGGGAAACCGUAGCUAAUACCGGAUAAUAUUUUGAACCGCAUGGUUCAAAAGUGAAAGACGGUCUUGCUGUCACUUAUAGAUGGAUCCGCGCUGCAUUAGCUAGUUGGUAAGGUAACGGCUUACCAAGGCAACGAUGCAUAGCCGACCUGAGAGGGUGAUCGGCCACACUGGAACUGAGACACGGUCCAGACUCCUACGGGAGGCAGCAGUAGGGAAUCUUCCGCAAUGGGCGAAAGCCUGACGGAGCAACGCCGCGUGAGUGAUGAAGGUCUUCGGAUCGUAAAACUCUGUUAUUAGGGAAGAACAUAUGUGUAAGUAUCUGUGCACAUCUUGACGGUACCUAAGCAGAAAGCCACGGCUAACUACGU